UAGGGAAUCUUCCGCAAUGGGCGAAAGCCUGACGGAGCAACGCCGCGUGAGUGAUGAAGGUCUUCGGAUCGUAAAACUCUGUUGUUAGGGAAGAACAAAUUUGUUAGUAACUGAACAAGUCUUGACGGUACCUAACCAGAAAGCCACGGCUAACUACGUGCCAGCAGCCGCGGUAAUACGUAGGUGGCAAGCGUUAUCCGGAAUUAUUGGGCGUAAAGCGCGCGUAGGCGGUUUCUUAAGUCUGAUGUGAAAGCCCACGGCUCAACCGUGGAGGGUCAUUGGAAACUGGGAAACUUGAGUGCAGAAGAGGAGAGUGGAAUUCCAUGUGUAGCGGUGAAAUGCGCAGAGAUAUGGGGGAACACCAGUGGCGAAGGCGGCUCUCUGGUCUGUAACUGACGCUGAUGUGCGAAAGCGUGGGGAUCAAACAGG
rnacentral:rRNA from 1 species